rnacentral:rRNA from 1 species
AGAGGUUUAAUAGUCGAACAGACUAACCUUAAAAGGCUUCUGCACCUUUUGGCUCCUCUAGUCCAACAUCGAGGUCGCAAACUCUCUUUUCGAUAAGAACUCUAAAAGAAAAUUACGCUGUUAUCCCUACGGUAGCUUUUCUUAUGAUCAUUUAAUGGAUCUUAACAUAUAAGUUUUUCACAUAAAGGAAGUUUAUUAUAUUCCUCUGUCGCCCCAACCAAAAAUCUCUUAUGGCACACCCAAUAAAAUUUCAAGCUCGAUAGGGUCUUCUUGUCUAUCAAUAUUAUAUAGGCCUUUUCACCUAAAAGUUAAAUUCUAAUAAUCUAUUUCGAGACAGCUCAGUCCUUGUCAAACCAUUCAUACUAGUCCUCAAUUAAAAGACAAAUGAUUAUGCUACCUUUGCACAGUCAGGAUACUGCGGCCGUUAAUGUAUUUACACCGGGCAGGUCAGACUCUAUAUAUUUUCAUAGAGAC